CGCGUUGUACUGGGAGUUAUACUAAGAGGACACGUGACUUCCUUGCAGUCAUUACAGACGUGUGCAGAACGAAGUUGUGUACUUGUGUCUGUACAACUAAAACAACUCCCUUCUCAGUAGGCGGCCGGAAGCAGGAGGGGUGGAGAGGAUACGGACGUGACGGAAAAUUCACAUUCUGUCUUACGAUGAAGUGGCGACUGGUCCACGGUGUACCCCGCCUUCCACCUGAAUGCAGCUAGGAUAUGCUCCAGCCAAGCCAGCUACCCUGAGAGGGACACGCUGGAAAAUGGAAGAAUGGACGGAAUUUCAGUCAUGCAAGACUAAACGUUACCUGUGAGAUCAUCUCCGCUGUUACCUGUUGUCCCUAAUACUGAGAAAAGUGACCUCAGCUUGUUACAUAAGCAGCACACCGACAUGCUACUGUGAGAAGAAGCAAGCCACCUCGGUCUUGUCAAAUAAAUCAGUGUUUAGUUUUCACCGUGAUCUGAUCCUCCUGUCCAAACAUAAUUGGAUCGCAAUCGUGGACCUUGGGGCUCAUGGCUGGCCAAGAUGACAGUGACCAUGUUUCUUCUCGCGUAUCCUGCUUUGACCAUUUACUUCCUCUUCAUUUCCUUCUGCGCGUCCGCUGUGAACUGUACGACCUUGCGGUGUUUGUUUUGAGAUGUGUUUUGCACGGCGUCAUGGAGGAGCAGCAGCCAUGUUGUCACACAAAGUUCUGUCUAAGCUUAACGGAUAAUAAACAUUUGUUUAUUAACCUUCACAUUCAGAGCAGUAAGUUAUUAAGCGGAUGCGUUCAGACAGCGUU